AUUGAACGCUGGCGGCAGGCCUAACACAUGCAAGUCGAGCGGAUGAGUGGAGCUUGCUCCGUGAUUCAGCGGCGGACGGGUGAGUAAUGCCUAGGAAUCUGCCUGGUAGUGGGGGACAACGUUUCGAAAGGAACGCUAAUACCGCAUACGUCCUACGGGAGAAAGUGGGGGAUCUUCGGACCUCACGCUAUCAGAUUAGCCUAGGUCGGAUUAGCUAGUUGGUGAGGUAAAGGCUCACCAAGGCGACGAUCCGUAACUGGUCUGAGAGGAUGAUCAGUCACGCUGGAACUGAGACACGGUCCAGACUCCUACGGGAGGCAGCAGUGGGGAAUAUUGGACAAUGGGCGAAAGCCUGAUCCAGCCAUGCCGCGUGUGUGAAGAAGGUCUUCGGAUUGUAAAGCACUUUAAGUUGGGAGGAAGGGCAGUAAGUUAAUACCUUGCUGUUUUGACGUUACCAACAGAAUAAGCACCGGCUAACUUCGUGCCAGCCGCCGCGGUAAUAC
rnacentral:rRNA from 1 species